GACGAACGCUGGCGGCGUGCCCAAUACAUGCAAGUUGAGCGCUGAAGGUUGGUACUUGUACCAACUGGAUGAGCAGCGAACGGGUGAGUAACGCGUGGGGAAUCUGCCUUUGAGCGGGGGACAACAUUUGGAAAGGAUUGCAAAUCCCGCAUAAAAACUUUAAACAAAAUUUUUAAGUUUAAAAAUUGCAUUUGCAUCAUUAAAUGUUGAUCCCUCGUCGUAUUAGUUGGUUGGUGAGGUAAAGCCUCACCAAGGGGAGGACACAUAGCCGACCUGAGAGGGUGAUCGGCCACAGUGGGACGGAGACACGGCCCAAACGCCUACGGGAGGCAGCAGGAGGGAAUCUUCGGCAAGGGACGAAAGUCUGACCGAGCAACGCCGCGGGAGUGAAGAAGGGUGUCGGAUCGUAAAACUCGGUUGGUAGAGAAGAAAGUGGGUGAGAGUGGAAAGCUCAUCAAGUGACGGUAACUACUCAGAAAGGGACGGCUAACUACGUG
rnacentral:rRNA from 1 species